UUUUUUAAUUGAAAACUUGUAUGAAUGGUUGAAUGAAAUAUAUUCUGUAUCUUAAAAAUUUAAUUAUAAUUUUAUUUUUUAGUUAAAAAGCUAAAAUUUUUUUAAAAGACGAGAAGACCCUAUAAAGUUUUAUAUACUUUUUGAAAUAAUUUAUUUAAUUAUUUUAAAAUUUUUUUGAUAGGUAUAUUUUAUUGGGGUGAUAAUAAAAUUUAAUAAACUUUUAUUUUUUAAAACAUAAAUUAAUGAACUGAUGAUCCUUUAUUAAUGAUUAAAAAUUUAAAUUACUUUAGGGAUAACAGCGUAAUUUUUUUUUUAAGUUCAAAUUUAUAAAAAAGUUUGC
rnacentral:rRNA from 1 species